GAUGAACGCUGGCGGCGUGCCUAAUACAUGCAAGUCGAGCGAACGGACGAGAAUCUUGCUUCUCUGAUGUUAGCGGCGGACGGGUGAGUAACACGUGGAUAACCUACCUAUAAGACUGGGAUAACUUCGGGAAACCGUAGCUAAUACCGGAUAAUAUUUUGAACCGCAUGGUUCAAAAGUGAAAGACGGUCUUGCUGUCACUUAUAGAUGGAUCCGCGCUUCAUUAGCUAGUUGGUGAGGUAACGGCUUACCAAGGCAACGAUGCAUAGCCGACCUGAGAGGGUGAUCGGCCACACUGGAACUGAGACACGGUCCAGACUCCUACGGGAGGCAGCAGUAGGGAAUCUUCCGCAAUGGGCGAAAGCCUGACGGAGCAACGCCGCGUGAGUGAUGAAGGUCUUCGGAUCGUAAAACUCUGUUAUUAGGGAAGAACAUAUGUGUAAGUAACUGUGCACAUCUUGACGGUACCUAAUCAGAAAGCCACGGCUAACUACGUG
rnacentral:rRNA from 1 species